CUCUUAGCAAUUGACGUUACCCGCAGAAGAAGCACCGGCUAACUCCGUGCCAGCAGCCGCGGUAAUACGGAGGGUGCAAGCGUUAAUCGGAAUUACUGGGCGUAAAGCGCACGCAGGCGGUCAAUUAAGUCAGAUGUGAAAGCCCCGAGCUUAACUUGGGAAUUGCAUCUGAAACUGGUUGGCUAGAGUCUUGUAGAGGGGGGUAGAAUUCCACGUGUAGCGGUG
rnacentral:rRNA from 1 species